GGGCAAAUUGGGAAAGGCUGGGCAAGAGCACCCAGCUACUGUGGGCAUCACUGCAGCUGUUGCACUGGCCACCACCCUGUAGCCCCUAGGUUCUGGCGUCAGAGGGGCCUUCACUGGGCACCCGCCCUCUGCAGCACCCCAUUCGGUCGGAGAAGCAUCCUGGCAGAGCGGAUAGGUGACCACCAAACCAGACUCAGCUACGCCCCGUGGUGCAUCAAGCACUGAAGGCUUCGAAGUGGCUGUGCAGACCGACCGACUCUGCCGUCUGCUGCCCGCCGAGUCCACUGGGGAACAGCUUACAGGGCUCGGAGAUUCUCCGUGGAUAGGACCGCUCCCACCUGGAAAGUUCCGCCGUUAGCGGUCGCUGAGGCCUCACUCUGCUCGCGCAUGGCAGUUGCUGGAGGAGCCGUCUCCCACUGGGGUCAGCAAGGAAGGCCAGGGAAGGAAGGAGAAAAAGAAAGGGGAGGGGUGCUGGCUUGAUUAAGAGCCUGAAAGACUGGAAUUCAACCAUCACCCUCCUCCCUAGUUUGAGGGUCAAACUCACUCCAGUUCUCUAGAAUUAGCCAAAGCAGUGAAUCUGGAAUGAUGGAAGGUCAAAGAUCACAGUUCCCUCUGGGGAUCCCUCCAAGGCAUAAUUCCUGCUGGGGAUCCUAAAUUGUCGGACUCAAGACGCAACUUGUAAGGGAGACCUCCCUCCCCUCAAAAGGAACUCGAAGCCAACAGUUCAUCCUCCAGCGACUUGAGGUUGCAACAUUUUCAAAGACAUCCUUUUUAAAAACAGAUUUCCACAGAUGGGCAUUUGCAGUUGGCUGACGAUGGGGUCAACAGCUACAGAAAACCACUUGGAGAAAUGGCUUCUGCGCAAGGCUGCCCCCUGCUCAGAAGGACCUUCCGGUGCUGAGGCCAACAGUUCAUCCUCAAAGGAAGUUAGUUACGUUGCAAUUUUUGAAAUUACCUCUUUUUCAAAGACUUUUUUUUUGAUGGGACAUUUGUAAAGGACCUGGCACUUUAGCGUCAAUGGCCAGAAGUAACCAGACAUGUGGGACAAUUUCUGAAGGACAAAUCCCCCCUCAAAAGGACCCCUUAGGAUGACUUCAAGACACUUGAGAUGAAACUUUUGAAAUGGAUGCCCUCCCAUCUACAGGAUCUCCUGUUGCUGAGGCCAAUGGUUAGGGACCAGGGCAUCUCCCGUUGACUGGAGGAUGGAACUUUUCUAAAAGACCUGAUGUUUGAACCGCAGGAACAAGGUGUCUUCAAGGGACCUGAUACAUAGGCCAGUGACUGCCUGCAUUGUGAUGUUGAAGAAAUAUUCCCAGCUGGAUAAUAACAACACAGCCGGUCUGGGGAGGGCUGGCCAGAAAAGAUGUGAAAGCUGAAGUCAUGGGGUACAUGGGGUACCCUACAAGACUUGUCUUCAAGACAGGAGGUCUUUGACUUUCACAAGAGUGCUACCCCAAUCAGAAUCACAACCUCAAAGCCCCCCAAUUAUUUGGGCAGAGAAAGAAUGUUCUAGAGGAGCCUGGAUCCCUCACCCUUUUACAUGGUGGUGUGGGCGUACCCAGAGUUCAAGAGUCGGGCCAUCAGAGCAAAGAGCUCGUUCAGCAAUACCAAGAGCGCCCAGCCUUCCAAUGUCUCCCAGCCCAGACCAUAAUGGCUCCAAGGCUAAGCCUGAGUCAAGCACCAGAGCGGAGGCUACAGAGACGGGCUCCAGGGGUCAUUAAGCUGUGGAGUCAGGGAGUCUUCUAGCACACCAUCAAAAUGAUGAAGGGACGAAGGUGGUGGAGCUCAGGGACUCUGAUGCCACAAGGCAGUGGCAUUUAGUUGCCCUGAUGUCUGUGCCAGGUGCCCCCACCAUCCUGAUCGAGCUCUGACCGGACGACAAGGCUUCCCUUGUGCUCUGGACAGGAAAGGUGAAUUCUCUCUGCUUCUCUAGUGUCAACUACUGUCACGCCUCUGUGUCACAGUGCUUGCCAAAAGGGAUCUCAAAUUCACUACCUUAAAUCUCUACCAUUCUUUCCCGGAGACUGCACCUCACCAGCUUUGAAAGACAUGAUUACUUUCAAGGCAAAGAUGCCCACCCAUCAUCCACUGACUGUCUGAUGCUUGGUUUCCAUGGAGAUUUUCAGAGCUACCCAACACAGGUGUUUUCUGAUCUUAUUGGGCAGCCCCCCUCUUUCUCAUAAGACAUUCGCUGCCCCACACCUCCAGCUUCUCAUCCAGGACCUUCUCACAGUCUCAGCUCUCCAGCGCUAAAGCCAACCCCGGCGCGCGCGUGUACGGAGACUCGGGAGUCUCAUUGCGUCAUGUCUUACUGGAGUUGCUCGGUGAGUCCUGCUCAUCGAAGCACUUCCUUUUAAGCAGGAGUCGCCCGCUGACAUGACUGGGUUGCUCCAGAUGGUGGGAGAGUCUUACUACCACUCCUCCUCCAUUAACAGGCUUCCUGUGGCCUCUUUGUGACAGCCCCGAGCCGGUGGCUGUAGUUAACUUUCUGUUGACGCCGGGACAGAAUUCUACAUGAUUCUCUUUGGCUGAAAACUCCAUGGUCCACGGACUUCCUCCUCUUUAGCAAACUUGGUUUGGUUUCUUCCUUGGUGACAGGCUCGAUUCCCUCAUUUUUUUCUCUCAAAGAAGGUCUUAUGUUGGAGGAAUUCGGCUAACGGAGCUUCUGCCCCUUUCUAUGA